UACGUAGGGGGCGAGCGUUGUCCGGAUUCAUUGGGCGUAAAGCGCUUUAAGGCGGUUCGCUAAGUCGGGUGUGAAACCUCCAGGCUCAACCUGGAGACGCCACUCGAUACUGGCGUGACUAGAGUUCGGUAGGGGAUCACGGAAUUCCUGGUGUAGCGGUGAAAUGCGCAGAUAUCGGGAGGAACACCAAUGGCGAAGGCAGCUCGCUGGGACGUUACUGACGCUGAGACGCGAAAGCGUGGGGAGCAAACAGG
rnacentral:rRNA from 1 species